UAAAUUGUUCAUUAAUUGUGAACUAGAAUGAAGGAAAAUAUGGUUUAAAUCUAUCUUAAAAUCUAUAUAUUGAAUUUGAAUUUUUUGUAAAAAUGCAAAAAUAUUUCUUAGGGACAAGAAGACCCUAUAAAGCUUGUUUGAUUUUAUUAUUAGUAAAUAAUACAAUCAAUUUUAUUGGGGCAAUUAUUUAUGUAUAAAGGAUAUAAAUUAAAAUGAAGUAAUAAUAUAUUAAUAGAAUGAUCCAUUAUUAAUGAUAAAAUGAAUAAGUUACUUUAGGGAUAACAGGAUAAUUUUUAUUAGAAAGUUCUUAUUAAUAAUAAAGUUUAUUACCUCGAUGUUGAAUUAAUUUAAUUAAAUGGUGAAGUAACUUUUUGAGUCUGACUGUUCGUCAAUUAAAUAAUUACAUGAUCUGAGUUC
rnacentral:rRNA from 1 species